GGGAGGGAGAGAGCUCGCUCUUUAUAUCCCCACUCAGGCUUCGGGCCUCCCCACACUCCGUCUCUACCAGCUCGAGAACUGAGCCUCACGGGAUCCCGUCACACCGCGGACCGGAGCCGGAAAUCAGCCGCGGUGCGCUGUUUGCCUGUGUCCGGUCAGUGGGAACUGGGCCGUGAGAGUGAGCGGACAGUGUGUGACCAGGCAUUGACCCACAGCCCGGUGCAGACUCCUGGCCAAAUGGCUGCAAUUGUUAAAGAAACGCAAAGCAUAAAGCAAGCUGUUGUAUUAAUCAAUGGAAUCGAUGCUGCUAAAUUUCCCCGCCUGCUGUCUCGCAUUCUUCAGAAACUUCACUUGAAGGAUGAACAUUCGUUUAAUGAAGAAGAGAAGGAAAAGCUACAAGCUGCGCUCUCUCUGGAAAAACAAGAUCUCCGCUUGGUGCUGGAAACUGUAUCUUUUAUCCUGGAGCAGGCAGCCUAUUACAACAUGAAACCCAUUGCUCUUCAACAACAACUAGAAAAUAUUCACCUGAGUCAAGAGAAGGCUGAAACCUUUGCCCAGGCCUGGACAAGUACGGGCCAAGAUGUUGUUGAAAAAUUGAGGCAGAAUACGUUUGCUCCUAAAAAGCUUGAAAAAGUUGGGUUCUGUCUUAACCUUGAAAUGGGACAUUCAACACAAGCCAAAGUGAAGUCUCCUCUUGCUGUUCUUGAGCUUGGAGUCAACAGUGACAACUCUGAGAGACCAAAGUACAGAUAUAGGAGCACAGAUUUGAUACAGUGCAGAAGAAGGUCAUUCAGCCCAUCAUAUCAAUAAGACAGAAAAGAUUUUUGUGGAAUUUAACCAUGGAGAGCUUCUAGAAUUUUACAACAAGUUGGAAACUGUACAAGCACAACUGGACUCUCUUAUGUGACUCAUAAUUUGAACAAGAAAUGGUCUUUCAGAAAUAUGUCUGACAGCGGAAUAACUGAAGAAUUUUCAUAAUAAUCAUUGUUGGAGAAAUAGAAUGAAUUGCUUCUGUCAAGUAUCACAGCAUAAAAGUGAAAGUACCAUUUCAGGAUAUCUUUGCCAGCCAGUGAAUCUUGAAUUUGACAAAUUGUUACAUAACAUUCAAUAGCACAUGAGCUGAGUAUCAACUACCUAAAUACUGCCUUGUAUUGAUUUAGGAUUAUCAAUGUCAAUUUAGAACAUCCUAAUAAUUUCACAGUGGUGUGAUGUUUGGAUUUAUGAAUGGAAGAUUGGGCAAGAAUGUAUGUUGUUUGAAAGUAAAAUUGUGACAUGGCUUUAGAAGGUUUUCAGCAGCAAUAAUGGUUUCCAUUUUCAUUGUCUUGUGAAGACCGGAAGAUGGAUGAACUGAACAUUCAACUUACUCGUUUAAGUAUUGCAGCUUAUUAAGCUUUUGGAAUAACAUUGUAUACAUAUCUAUUAUUAAUGAAUUCCAUGCCAUUAAUACAACAAACCUUUCUACGAAGUUAUGCUUAAUAAAGCUAAUUUCUUUUGUUCUUGUAAUUUGUGAUAUUUUCAAUGUUAAGUAAUAGCUAGAAUAUAAGUGUAUUGAAUCGUCCUGGUUUCUGCUAUCUGCUGAAUUAAGAUACCCGAAGAACCGUGUUCUAUUGUCAGUGGUAAUGAACUUUCAGGCUGAAUACAGUGGGAUUGAAGUGCAAGUUUUGAAUAGUUCCUUGCAUAAGCUGAAAUAAAUACAGAAUUGAUGACUUA